rnacentral:rRNA from 1 species
CGGAGAGUUUGAUCCUGGCUCAGGAUGAACGCUGGCGGCGUGCCUAAUACAUGCAAGUCGAACGCUUUGUGGUUCAACUGAUUUGAAGAGCUUGCUCAGAUAUGACGAUGGACAUUGCAAAGAGUGGCGAACGGGUGAGUAACACGUGGGAAACCUACCUCUUAGCAGGGGAUAACAUUUGGAAACAGAUGCUAAUACCGUAUAACAAUAGCAACCGCAUGGUUGCUACUUAAAAGAUGGUUCUGCUAUCACUAAGAGAUGGUCCCGCGGUGCAUUAGUUAGUUGGUGAGGUAAUGGCUCACCAAGACGAUGAUGCAUAGCCGAGUUGAGAGACUGAUCGGCCACAAUGGGACUGAGACACGGCCCAUACUCCUACGGGAGGCAGCAGUAGGGAAUCUUCCACAAUGGGCGAAAGCCUGAUGGAGCAACGCCGCGUGUGUGAUGAAGGGUUUCGGCUCGUAAAACACUGUUGUAAGAGAAGAAUGACAUUGAGAGUAACUGUUCAAUGUGUGACGGUAUCUUACCAGAAAGGAACGGCUAAAUACGUGCCAGCAGCCGCGGUAAUACGUAUGUUCCAAGCGUUAUCCGGAUUUAUUGGGCGUAAAGCGAGCGCAGACGGUUAUUUAAGUCUGAAGUGAAAGCCCUCAGCUCAACUGAGGAAUUGCUUUGGAAACUGGAUGACUUGAGUGCAGUAGAGGAAAGUGGAACUCCAUGUGUAGCGGUGAAAUGCGUAGAUAUAUGGAAGAACACCAGUGGCGAAGGCGGCUUUCUGGACUGUAACUGACGUUGAGGCUCGAAAGUGUGGGUAGCAAACAGGAUUAGAUACCCCUGGUAGUCCACACCGUAAACGAUGAGUG